rnacentral:ribozyme from 14 species
AAAAUGAGUGAAAAAAAAAACAGAAAAAUGAUGACAUUACGGCCGCUACCGACGCGGCACCUGAAGAUAUGCAAAUAUAAGCAUAUUCUCUUUUCUUCUCUCUUCUCUUAUCUUCUUUUAUCUCCUCUUCUCUUUAUAUCUCCU